rnacentral:rRNA from 1 species
CCUACGAGUGGCAGCAGUCGAGAAUCAUUCACAAUGGGGGAAACCCUGAUGGUGCGACGCCGCGUGGAGGAAUGAAGGUCUUCGGAUUGUAAACCCCUGUCAUGUGGGAUCAAAUUAAAAAGAUAGUACCACAAGAGGAAGCGACGGCUAACUCUGUGCACGCAGCCGCGGUAAUACAGAGGUCUCAAGCGUUGUUCGGAAUCACUGGUGGUAAGGGGUGCGUAGGCUGUUUCGUAAGUCGUGCGGGAAAGGCGCGGGCUCAACCCGCGGACGGCACAUGAUACUGCGAGACUAGGGUAAUGGAGGGGGAACCGGAAUGCUCGGUGUAGCAGUGAAUUGCGUAGAUAUCGAGAGGAACACUCGUGGCGAAGGCGGGUUCCUGGACAUUAACUGACGCUGAGGCACGAAGGCCAGGGGAGCGAAAGGGAUUAGAUACCCUUGUAGUC